rnacentral:lncRNA from 1 species
UGACCUUCACUCCCCAACUCUGGCUCAGAUCCAAGACCGUGCUCUGGCCUCUCAAAAGCCAUCACACUCUAACCCUGAAACUGAAGUCACUUCCCCACUUCCAGAAAACCCAAACACAACCACCUCUGAACCUCCACCAUCAAUACCAUUCCACUCUGACUCACAACCAUCUGAACCACCACGCUCUGAAAUACCCCAACCCAUUCCCUCCGUUGACCAAAC